AUCUUCCGCAAUGGACGAAAGUCUGACGGAGCAACGCCGCGUGAACGAUGAAGGUUUUCGGAUCGGAAAGUUCUGUUGUUAGGGAAGAACCGCCGGGAUGACCUCCCGGUCUGACGGUACGUAACGAGAAAGCCCCGGCUAACUACGUGCCAGCAGCCGCGGUCAUACGUAGGUGGCAAGCGUUGUCCGGAAUUAGUGGGCGUAAAGGGCUCGCAGGCGGUUUCUUAAGUCUGAUGUGAAAGCCCCCGGCUCAACCGUGGAGGGCCAAUUGAAACUGGGAAGCUUGAGUGCAGGAGAGGAGAGCGGAAUUCCACGUGUAGCGGUGAAAUGCGUAGAGAUGUGGAGGAACACCCGUGGCGAAGGCGGCUCUCUGGCCUGUAACUGACGCUGAGGCGCGAAAGCGUGGGGAGCGAACAGG
rnacentral:rRNA from 1 species